GGAAAGAUCUCUGGUUGGAGAUUCAUCUCUUGUGGAGUCCUUCCUGGGAGCCUGCAUCUUUAGAGGUGGCUUGAGGAUGGAGUCAGCUGAUUUUCCUGGCUGAUGAAUGGCUCUAUUCAAGGACUUGAGCUUGGGGUUAAUAAUUGAGCCGUCCUGCUCCGGGACCAGCCCCAAGGGCAGGUGACAGAUUCGGUGCCUCAGAGGUCCCAUUGCUGCAAUGGGAAGGGGCAGGAAACAGUGCCAGAGGCACUCGGUAGAACCCUCAUAAUCCAGAGUUAGACUAAGCAACAGAGUACCCCAAUUGCUCAUGGCCUAGCUGCUGUCCCAGGUGACCUGAAGUCCCGGUGACAGCCAUCUAUGUUCUUCUGUGAAGAGAGGAACGCACCCUGCACAGGGCUUUUUAAUGCUUCUCAACUACCUUACUGGCUCGAAGACUUGAAUCCCAGACGGGUACAGUUUACUGGCUUUCUUAAAAGUGGAUUACUUUUCAGAUUUGUCCAUUGGAGGACUGUGAAUGGUAAUAGGCAACACCACACUGCUGCUUUGAGUUCUCAGACAGAUUAUUUCCCUUCCAUUUUAAAUUAUGUCCUGCAGUUAGUGGAAACUUGAAAUAGAUGUUAAGAAAUAAGUAGGAAAAUCCCUAGAAUUUUCAGUCUGAUACUUUCCGUUAGAUAUAAUCUGUGCUCAGUGUACUAAUGGGAAUAAUAAACAAACAUCAGCAUUGUUUCUAUGCCAGUUGGUAAGAGAACCGUCUUUAAAGCUGUUUUCUCAGAUCUAAUGCUAUGAAAUGCCACAUGGGACCAAACCUGCUGAUUCUACUUGCAGCUGUUCUGCAAAAGAAGAAAUCAGGGAUUUUUUUUCCACUGGGUUUCAAGCUUUAUGCCUGACUGAAUGAAGGAUAAGUACUAUACGUGUUACCGUUCGACUGUGUUCAAAUGAGAUGUGAGGGGAAGCACCCCAGAGCAAGGACACUUAGCACGUAUUCCUGACUUAUUAUCAGGUCAGCAUUCAGCAUUUGGAGGGAACGUGGGAUUUCAUGUUUCUAAUUUCUCCUGCCUGCAGAUGCAGUAAUAAAUAAGGGCUUUAGGCAAUAACAGCAACGGAAAGGCGCAAGACAGCAAGGAAAUACGCUCCACUUUUUCAGAGAUGUGUUUUCUUUCUGGACCUCAGCCCUUUCCAUAGCUUGGGGCAAGCUUCCAGUGCUGCAGCAGUGGAGCAUCAGAGCAGCCUCCUACUAGAAGGCAUGGGUAAUCAUUUUAUAGAUAAAGGCAAAACAAAGGAUGCAUGCCUGCUUCUACCAUGAGGCUAGCACAUGCUAGAGGAAGGAAGCAAAACCUUGGGUCCUUACUGCUAGAAACUCCAGACUGGACCUCUCAGAACUUGCUUUCCUCAAUUGUCUGCAUCAAAAAGAACUGCAGUGCUGGUGGUUGAAAGAGAAGUUCAUAGAAUUGUUUAAGUUGGAAGGAACCCUUAAAGGCCAUCCAGC
rnacentral:lncRNA from 7 species